CGCACAGUAAACGAUGAAUGCUAGCUGUUGGCGAUACACAGUCAGUGGCACAGCGAAAGCGUUAAGCAUUCCACCUGGGGAGUACGCCGGCAACGGUGAAACUCAAAGGAAUUGACGGGGGCCCGCACAAGCGGAGGAACAUGUGGUUUAAUUCGAUGAUACGCGAGGAACCUUACCCGGGCUUGAAUUGCAUCUGAAUAUGCCGGAAACGGUAUAGCUAGCAAUAGCAGAUGUGAAGGUGC
rnacentral:rRNA from 1 species